rnacentral:lncRNA from 1 species
CCAGAAGAGGCAGUGUUUGCACCGGGGCAUCAAAGUCGCGAUCCCCGGAACCCUCGAGCUUCCUCCAACCCGCACAGCUCACCCCCCACCCCCCUCCGCCCCCAGCAGCAGCGUCUGCGUAGCUCGAUCCCCAGCGCAGACCCCGGACCUGUAGAGAGCCGCAAGCCCCCUUCCUCAUCCCCUGAGAUCUCCGACCGCGGCUCUUCCCGCUCCAAUUCUGGGUCGGGAGUCGGAGCCACCAGCGGCCCCCGAAGUCUCCGUGCGGUGCGGGUCCCCGACGUCUCUCCUCUCCCGCCCUGUUCCCUAGUAGCCACCAAAACAGCCCCAAGCCCCCCACCACGCUCCGACUCUGACAGCGCUCAGGUCAUUCCGGCUCGGAGCUGCAAAGAGAGGCCCAGUUCAGACUGCACUGACCUGGGGCUGCUACCACUCGCCGGCCACGUCCUGGGGACUGCGGGCACAGAGCUGGCCGGGCCGGAGCUGGGGAGCAGGCGACAGGGAAAGCGGGAGGGCGCCUACUGCGGCGGAGUGUCCCAAGACAGAAAGACCCUUAGAAAUCCAAAAGCAUUGCUGGGGGCUCUGGGGCGAAUGGGUUGCGGGGUUGCGGGGUUGCGGGCUUUGCUUCCAGCGCUCCCGGCGGGGGUUGGUGUAUUGGCAGCAGAUCGGCCGGGGCUCACGGCACAAAUUGGAACGCUCAAAACAGCUGAUUGUGACGUCACAAAGGGGCCCGCCCGCCCUCACGUCACGGCCAGGGCGGCUGGAGGCCAAUCAAGAAUUGUGUGCCCCGGGUCCCCUACCCCCAUCCCAGUGAUCCAGCCACAACAAGGAAUACACACACUUUUAAAAGGUUACGAUCUGCCUUCCUUAGUCCUGGCCAGCCCAAUGGAUCAAGGCUACGUGGCCCACUUGGGUGGGCCCAGCUUAUCCUCUAGUCUGGCGUUCCUCCUACACACACACAGACCCACCGUGGGCUCCUGGUCGAAUUGCUGCCUGCCCAGGUCUGGCCGCCUUCAAGUGAGGAGGGGAGACCUUCUGUGAGUCUCCUGGAUCAGAGACAGAGCUCUAUGAGUCCAAGAAUGAGAGGACGGUGUCAGAGUUUACAAGCAGCCAGGCCCAGGGAGGAGGGAAGCUUCCAAGUUCCCUGUUUGAUUCAUUAUAGCAGUGAAUAAAUCCUGAAAUACUGGUUUCUUCA